CUUAUUUAUUUAUUUAUUUGACUGGGGCAACAGCAUGCAGAAGUUCCCUGGCCAGGGAUUCUACCUGUGUCACAGCAGUGACAAUGGUGGAUCCUUUAACUGCUAGGACACCAGGGAACUCCUCCUUAGUAUUUUUUUUUAAAUUAAAAUAUAGUUAAUUUACACAGUUGUGUUAGUUUCAAGUGUUUAAGUAAAGUGAUUCACUUCUACCUAUAUAGAUUCUUUUUCAGACUCUCUUCCAUUACAGGUGAUUACAUAAUACUGAAUAGCGUUCCCUGAGUGUUGCAAUAGGUCCUUGCCGUUUACCUAUUUUAUAGAGCUUGCAUUCUUUUUAUUUUUUGCACCAAGCCUUCCAAAGACAGUGUGUACUUUGCCUUUACAAGACCCCUCAUCUCAGGCCAGCCGCCUUUCAACAGCCCCCUGCAGACGGCGGCCAUGGUCCGGGGGUGUGCAGCUCUGGAUCACACCAUUGCCACGGAGGGAGCAUCGGUGACUCCCGAGACUCAGCCAAAGCCUUUUCUUUCUUCUCUUCUCUCUUAUCUCUAUUUCUCCUCAGAGGUCCUCGGGUGUGACUGGCCAUGUUCUGCCAGGAUCAUUCUCCGAUGUUGCCAACCUUUCCCAGAAAAGGAGAGUUUCCUGGAAAAGACAGGUCCUGUUGAGAAAUACAGAGGGAGAGGCAGGCAGAGAGCCAUCUUGAGGGCGCCCUGUGUCGCUUGGUGCUGUUGGAGUCUCCGAGUAUUGUGGAGGACAGCUGGUGGCCCGUGCAGCUGGGUUGGGAAAUCCUCAAGGGAACUGUGGUGGCAUGUCAGUCAGUCAUUUUGUAGCUGCCAUCAGAGCGGGUGCAGAGACAACAGUGGAUGGGAUUCCGGAGUGCUCUCCCACAGCCUCUCCUCCGCAGGAUCACGGAGAAUCGCCCGACCUGCCUGAUGAGAUUGUCCAUCCCAGGUGACCAUUCAUUCAUUUAAUUUUAUUGGGCCUCCACUUCCUAUUGGUCUCUAACAUUGAGGUUAAGGUGGUGGAUUUUGCCUUCAUGCAGAUUACCUGCCAGCGAGAGGGCUGUAACAUGUGCCUAUAUUAUAAGAAGCAAGGGUAAGGUGGUACCUGUAACAAAAAAAGGCUUGUCUUGGUACCUUGUUUCUACGAGAGCUCAGAAGAGAUAUCACCCAGGUCUGUCUCUCUCUUUUUUUUUUACAGCUGCACUUGCAGUAUAUGGAGGUUCCCAGGCCAGAGGUCAAAUCCGAGCUGCAGCUGCUGGUCUCCAGCACAGCCACAGCAAUGCCGGAUCUGAGCAACGUCUGCGACUUACACUACAGCUUGCGGCAAGGCCAGAUCCUCAACCCACUGAGCGAGGCCAGGGAUCGAACCUGAAUCCUCAUGGACACUAUAUUGGAUACUUAACCUGCUAAGUCACCAUGGGAACCCCCCAUAGGUCUUGUAAGAGGGUCAGACUGAACCUUAUUCUUGUUGGUUCCCCCAGUACCAGUCUGCACAUGGCUGGUGCUCGUCAAAGUUUGUUGAAGUGCAAACGAUGGUUUCUUCUCUGUCUUUCGUUCCUUAAGCUCUCUUACUGAGACUGAUGUCAGCAGGCAACGGACCUACAUCAGUAGUUUGAGUGCUUGUUUAUUUUUCUUUUUUGAUGUCUCUGUCUUCCAUCCCUCUCUCUUCCUGUCUCCGUCUAGCUCUCUCUCACUCAAUCUAAAUGUGAAUAUUCUGCCGUUUGGAGAUGGAACCACUACCCAGCAUGAUUAAAAGCAAAUGGCAGAAUUUGCAGCAAUGUGGAUGGACUUAGAGAGGAUCAUGUUAAGUGGAGGAAGUCAGAGAAAGACAAGGAUCAUACCAUACGACUUAUAAGUGAAAUCUAAAAUAUGAUAUCAAUGCAUUUAUUUAUAAAACAGGGGUAAAUCUGCAGACAUAGGAAACAAACUUAUGGUUAUCAGAGGGAAUGGGGGGAAUAAAUUAGGAGUUUAGGAUUAAUGUAUACACAUUACUAUAUAUAAACAAACAACUAGGAUCUACUGCAUAACACAGAACUAUAUUGAAUACCUUGUAAUAACGUAUAAUGGAAAAAGAAUCUGAAAAAUAAUACAUAUAUAUGCAUAACUGAAUCACUUUGCUGUACACUCAAAGCUAAUGCAACUUUGUGAAUUAACCAUACUUCUGUUUAAAAAUGGUUAUAAAACAUACCAUUCUGCCCAUGUUUUCCUCCAGGAGUUUUAUAAUAUCUAGCCGUACAUUUAGAUCUUUAAUUCAUUUUGAGGUUAUUUUUGUGUGUGGUGUUAGAGAAUGUUCUCUUACAACUCAACAACAAAACAAAAACAAACAACCCAACAGAAAAAUGGGUAGAAGGCCUAAAUAGACAUUGUUCCAAAGAAGAUAAAUACAGAUGGCCAGUAGGCCCAAGAAAAAAUGCUGAACAUCACUUAAUAUCAGAGACAUGCAAACCCAAACUACAAUGUGGUACCACCUCACCCUGGUCGGAAUGGCCAUCAUUAACAAGUCUACAAAUAAAUGCUGGAGGGGAUAUGGAGGAAAAGGGAACCCUCCUGCACUGUUGGUGGGAAGGUGAAUUGGUACAACCACUGUAGAAAACAGUAUGAUGGCUCCUCAGAAAACUAAAUAUAGAACUACCAUAUGAUCCAGCAAUCCCAUUCCUGGGCAUAUAUCUGGACAAAACUUUCAUUCAAAAAAAUACAUGCACCCUUAUAUUCACAGCAGUAUUGUUCACAACAGCCAAGACCAGAAACAAUCUAAAUGUCCAUUGACAGACGAAUGGAUUAAGAAGAUGUGGUACAUACAUACAAUGGAAUACUACUCAGCCAUGAAAAAGAACAAAAUAAUGCCAUCUGCAGCAACAAGGAUGGAAAUAGAGAUUCUCAGACUAACUAAAGCAAGUCAGAAAGAGAAAGAAAAAUAAAAUACAGUAUCGCUUAUGUGUGGAAUCUAAAAUAUGGCACAAAUGAACUUAUCACAACACAGAAACAGACUCGCAGACAUAGAGGACAGACUUGUGGUUGUCAAGGAGGAGGGGAAAGAAUUGAGAUGGAUGAUGAGUUUGGGACUGGUAGAUGCAAACUUACAUGUAGAAGGGAUGAGCAAUGAAAUCCUACUGUAUAUGGCAUAGGGAAUUACAUCCAUCUCUUGGGGUGGACCAUAAUGUAAGAUAAUAGGAGAAAAAGUAUAUAUAUUAUACAUAUAUCUGUGUAACUGAGUCACUAUGCUGUAUGGCAGAAAUUGACUCAACACUGUAAAUCAACUAUACCCUAAUAAAAGUUAAAUUUAAUUUAAAAAAUGGUUAUAAAGAAUAAAAAAGCAAAGGGCAGAGUUUUAUUUCCUAAUACUUAAAUGUCCCCAGCAUCUUAGGGCAAGUUUUGUAUCCAGCUUUACACAUUUUAGCAAAUCCAAAUAUCUUCAUUCCUAGGGAAUCAAGAAGAAAAAGCUGAGUUUCUUAGUCUGAGGUCACAUCAUGUGGUCCUCAGCCCAGGCUUAUCCUGCCUCCUCCUUAGAAUUCAACCCAACUGGGCAGAUAAUGGUAGAAGAUGGUUUGGGGGGACCCGUGGAAUCUUGAGACAGCCUCUCCUGACUGUUUAAGCACAUGGAUUAUGACAAAAAUCACAAAGUGCAGAAUUGGCAGAUUCUCCCAGAGCAGGAGGGGAAGGUGAUAGCCUUCUCCAGAGUCAGAGGAGGGAUGGGUAUUGAAUAAAUCACAACAAAUAUGUGAUAUGUCCCGCGAAUGAUAUGAAAAAUUAAAUACAAAGAAAAGUGAAGACAGGACUUAAAUGUCAGAGCUGUGGAGAGGGUGAAGGGGGAG
rnacentral:lncRNA from 9 species